GAACACUUGUCUUUACUUUUUUAUAAUUAAGUCGUGAAAUUCAUCACUUAAUCAUGUUAAGCAUCAAAACAAAAUUUUUAAUCUUGUGAGUACAACAUCUUUCUCUUAUCUGCCAUUGCAGGGGGAAGCAUGAUCAGUUCCUUAGCUACCUCUCACAAGGUGGUUUAUUGAAGUGAAUGGAGCACCUGGAACUCUUUACGCUAACGAAACUUAUCAGCUUCAGGUGGACUUUCCUGAGCAUUACCCCAUGGAAUCGCGGCUUAACGACCUCAGAAUCGUUCUGAGUGGCGAGUAUUGGCGGAUUCGUGAGCAAUUCUCGCAGUCUAGCACUUAAGAAAGGUGCAUAUUUGCUGAGGUAUGGACGCAGGGGGAAGCCCAAGUUCUGCCCGUUUCGACUUUCUAAUAUGGGUGAGAAUGGCUAUGGAUCAAUUUCAAUAGAUGGGUGAGAAUGGCUAUGGAUCAAUGUCCUCGUAUUCGUCAAAGUUGUAUGGAGGCUACCCUCGACUCUUGACAUGUUGGUGCCAGCAAGGGUAGUGGGCAAGGUGAUGGGCAAAGGAAUUUGUGUAUGCCCUUCUCUUGUUUUUUCUACUAUUCAUGUUGAAAAAUCUCUGUUGAAACUGUAGAUUGCUAUAUUGUAGUGUUCUCAAACAGUGGUGUAUCACAUUUCAGAGUGUCUCUAUCAAUUUUCAAUCCCUAUGGUCUAUGCCUAAGACCAUUAGACAGUACUUAGAGACUGCAAAGAAAUGCUUUAGAAGUUGGAGUCAAA